rnacentral:rRNA from 1 species
AACGCGAAGAACCUUACCUGGGCUCGAAAUGUAGUGGACUGGGGUAGAAAUAUCCCUUUCUCGCAAGAGACUGCUAUAUAGGUGCUGCAUGGCUGUCGUCAGCUCGUGUCGUGAGAUGUUGGGUUAAGUCCCGCAACGAGCGCAACCCUUAUCCCUAGUUGCCAUCGGGUCAAGCCGGGCACUCUAGUGAAACCGCCCCGGAUAACGGGGAGGAAGGUGGGGAUGACGUCAAGUCCUCAUGGCCUUUAUGUCCAGGGCUACACACGUGCUACAAUGGUCGGUACAGAGGGACGCAAGACCGCGAGGUGGAGCAAAUCCUUAAAACUGGGCCCAGUUCAGAUUGUAGUCUGCAACUCGACUACAUGAAGUCGGAAUCGCUAGUAAUCGCGGAUCAGCUAUGCCGCGGUGAAUACGUUCCCGGGCCUUGUACACACCGCAUAC